UUACCGCAAAAUAAGUAUGUCAUGAUAUUAUCACACUGGUGUUUUGAUGUUGAAUGGAGCAGGUAGCACAUUCACCAGGACUCUCAGAUUUAUGUUUAUCACCUGCCUUAGCAAGUUGCAUGAGCGCUAAACUAAAGUAACUAUUUUUAUGAUCGGAGCAAGCAUGGGGCGGCCAGACAUAAAAAUAUUAGUUUACCCGGCAACCUCUGACUAAGAUCAGAACUGGCAAUUUUGUGUCCGUGAGAUGUACGCAAACGGCCGGCGUAUAUCCUGUGCGAUAUCGGGUCCCUAAUGAACGAAUAAUUAAGACUAUGGGAAUUUAUAAAUAAUCAAACAUCUAAAUUAUGAUCAACAGAUAAUUGGAAUAAUGCACAAAAUUCUUAGUAUAUUAAAUUGGAGUCAGAUUAUAAUUUAAUAAACACAGAGAUCAAAGAAAUUAAUUUAAUCAUGAUAUGGAAUUAUUCUUCUAGAAGCGCUAAGGAAGGAACGAACACGAGACCCCUUCACCCACUCCACUUUCAUCCGUCGUUGGGCUAGUGGGUGGCACCUUACAAUGUGUUUGUUAUAGAGUCAGAGUUAGUGAAGCGUUCAGAGGUUUUUGUACAGCUGCUCGAUUUGUUUCUAUCACUGUGGUGGACGUUCGGCACCGGCACGAGACUCGACGUCGGCAGUGUUAGUCGUCCUAAAGUGAUCGUCCUGCCGCCGUCCAGUGAAGAGAUUUCCAGCAAGAAGACAGCAACAGUGAUGUGUGUGGCCAGCAAUGGUUUCCCUUCAGACUGGAGUCUGAGCUGGAAAGUGAAUGGGAAGAUGUCAGGAUCUCAGGAGAACAGAGCUGGAGUCCUACAGAAAGACGGCGGUCUGUACAGCUGGAGCAGCAGUCUGACUCUCACUGAACAAGAAUGGAUCAACAGAGACUCAGUGAUCUGUGAGAUCAGUCGGGAAGGUCAGACAGUCACUGGAGAAGUGAAGAAAGAUCUGUGUUCUGAGUAGAUCCUCUCUUCUUCUCAUCUCUUCUUCUCAUUCAUGUCUCACAUCAACAGUAAACAACUAUUCAUACAACACUCUGUGUCUCUGCUUUAUUCAUUCUGUCUGCUUUAAUAAAGAAAUAUUAAAUAUUG